UCUCUGGGAAAUGAUGUUUAUGGAAUGGUUCUUUCAGAUAAGUAACAAGGCCUAAAGCACAUUUAUGACUACAACUCCCACAGUGUGGUGGAGCGUUGCACGGAAACUUCUCCAUCCAAACUUUAGACAAAUUGCUGAAGGAAAUGACAUUGAAUUUUCGAUCAAGAAAUGCACUCACACAUGCUUUUAUGCCACACAUUGUUCAGGUUUGACCUUUGUUGAUGGCAACACAACUAAGACCAAUAAUACAUUAUAUACAAGUAGCUAUUAACUUAUUGGGUUAUGAGUAUCUGCUGCCUUGUACGGUUCGUUUACUCUAACCGGCAUGUACACAACCAAGCGGAAAAUUGCCGCGUGCCGCUUAGUCCACCCAGUGCUUGGCAGCAUAAGUUCGAGUGUGCGUCAAGAAUUCAGCAUAGCAAGUUUGUAAGAAGGUUUGGUUAUUAAUAAGUGGGUAAAUAGUUCAAUAGUAAUAUGCUUUAAAACGCUCUGGUGACAAACAAACUUUGCUGCCCUAUUUACAAUUGUCCACAUGGCUGGAAGAAGCUAUUCAAAUACCUUGCAACUGGAGAUUCUUUCAAAAAUAUUGCCUACAUUUACUGUGUAGGGCACUACAAGGUAAGGUGACCAGGGCCAUCUGGGGCUGCCUCCUGGAGGAAUUCAGGCGUGUGAAGGCUGUCCUGCAAAACUUCAUGAGGAUGGACAUAAGGACCAGGAGGGGAUCUGCAGCUCGCCACUGUGUGCCAGAGAAGAAGUCUGGCACUCUGCAGGACGUUUCAAGGAUGGGGUCCAACAACGCAGCAAGAGAGGCAAUCCAUGUGCGGACAUCUUCACCUCCUACUUCUUUGAAGAGGGUGCUGUUCCCUGGCAACACCAUGACUACACUAUGCACAGCCAAAGGCUCUUAAGAGCCAUCCACAUUGCAAUAAGAGUAUUCUUCCAUUUACUUAGCUAUGUCAACUGCAGUUAUUCAAUUCUGUUUCUCUCCCUUUGAUUUCUACUUCUCAGGCGAGAGUGCUGUUUAGGUAAGGGUGUGAUGUCUGUACAAAAACUAAUUUAGAACAAUUAGACACCCUAUAACCCACACACUCAUGUAUCAAUCUGAUUGAUGGAUUGUGUUCUGCGCUAAGCAGGCUCAGGUGUAUAACUGUGGCUCCUUCCACCUUCAAAUGAUAGGCAAGAGGGCCAACUAUGGAGAGUAGUAAGACACUUUCUAUAACUACGCUAUAUUGUUUGUCCUCGUGUGUCCGUUCAUGUUUAUCAGUAUAAAGUACUUUGCAGCCACCUAGUGUGGACACCAGGUGAGGCCACACACACAGCUUCCUGUUGAACACUGUCUCUUUAACCACCUUAUUUUCUCAAUAAGUCUCUCUCCUUCUUCAUCCCUCUCUCCCCUUCUCCCUAAAUCCUCUAGGUUAUAUCAGCUGUGUCGGUAAACACCUCUCGCAUCUGAACUGGCUACAUAGAGGGCACAGCAUGAUCAGAGGUGAGAGGUCACUUGGUCAGGUCAACAGGAAGUAUAAUUAAAGGGAUGCUUUACAUUGAAAUACAGAUAGAGAUGUAGUAGUCCCAGAGUUAAUGAUCCAAGGUCAGUUUUGCAUUUUACCACCUGAUGAUUAUGAUAACUGACAGUGUUAGAAUAAAAAAAGAGGCUUAAACAUGCUCGCUCUCAUCUGCGAUGAUGUGAGAGAGGAUGCCAACCCCCAGUCCCGUCAUCGCCACCUCACCCGCUCUUAAGAUAACCUUCGGGCCAACUGGGACCCCAAGGCUGUUAAAAGACACAACUAGACACUAUUAUCUAAUUGUGAUGAACUGAGAGAAUAUUAGGCACUGUGAUUCUUUAAUCAUAUGUGGAAUUCCCUGCUCCUAUGUUCUUACUUCUUUCCCUUUCUGACUUUUACACCAUCUCUCGCCACCGCUUUCUUACUCUGUUUUUAUAAUGCACAGCAGAUGUACAUGGCAGUACAGAUUGAACAUGUAUUUCUAAUAUUUAUAAUGCAUUUAUUUAUAACACUUGGAUAAUUAACUUCUUUCAAUAAAGCGUUUCACAUUC